AAAUUGUACCCUAACUUACUGGGUCUCAAUUUUCUCGUUAAUUCUAAAUAGCAAAAUAUCAUUUUAAAUUUCCAAACUCAUAAAUUUUCAAAAAUAAAGGUAAUAUUCUAUAUUUAGAAAAUUCGAGAAAACGUGCCCUAACUUACUGGGUUUCGAUUUUUCUCGUAUUGAACCUAAAUAACUGAAUAUCCUUUUAAAAUUGAAAUGAAUGAGGUUUAAAUAGAAAUAAAAUGCAAGCUUACUCUCAAAAAAUACGAGGUGUCGGGUCCUAACUUACUGGAUGUGACAUCUUGUUACUUCGAGAUAAGAAGGCAUUUUCCAUUUUGAUUUAUUCAAGUAAUUUUGAAAUAACACAAUAUAAAGAGGGAUCGUAUUUUUAAAUUCUUUUCGAGUUUUUUAAUUUUCGACACCAAGACAUUAAGUAAUCAACUAGGUACCAAUUUUGGGUGUAUCGAGGGUGCUAAUCCUUCCUCGUGCGUAAUCGACUCCCGAACCUAUUUUUCUGAAUUUCGUAGACCAAAAUCUUUGUUUUAAUAAAAUCUAAAUCGUUUAUUAAAAACAACUGUUUUACGAGGUGACCCGAUCACACCUCAUCAAAAAAGAUUGGUGGCGACUCUCGUUUUCAUUUUUAUUUUCAAAAUCCAAGUCGACCCCGUUUUAUCAAAAAAAUGGUGUCAACAAGCAUCUUUAACCUUUCAAUUUUAUUUGAAGACUGACACUAAGGUGGACACAAGAUGACUCCCAGGGGGAGAGCGGAUAUUUCGAUAGAAGUAGAUGUCAAACUCGGGUCGGCGAGACAACGAUUGUAGUUAUUAAUGAGUUGUUUAAUAACGGCAACCGCUGUCAACCCAAAAUGAGCAUCAUCUUUACUCCAUCGAAACAACCGUUCCCUGCCUGAGAGUCCUUCUGCGUCCACGAUAGUACCGGCCUUCGGAUAAGAAAGAAGAUUAAAGGUAUCAACUGUCUGGAAAUGAAGAAAAAAAUUUACACCAAUUAUAAAGGGAAAUCAUUAUUCCCUCUAUUUUUUUUCUCUUGUUUUUCAUUCAAUUUGCAUUAUUCCUCAUUUAACUUGAUGUUUUGAUUUUUCCAGAUCAAUUCAGGUUUGAUUUUAGUUUCUUGGAUUGUAAGAUUCUUUACUUAAGACCUAGUGCC
rnacentral:lncRNA from 1 species